rnacentral:rRNA from 1 species
ACGCUCGACACCUACGGGGGGCAGCAGUGGGGAAUAUUGCACAAUGGGGGAAACCCUGAUGCAGCGACGCCGCGUGAGUGAAGAAGUAUUUCGGUAUGUAAAGCUCUAUCAGCAGGGAAGAGAAUGACGGUACCUGACUAAGAAGCCCCGGCUAACUACGUGCCAACAGACGCGGUAAUCUGAGCGGGCUGGCAAGGC